GAUUUGACCUUGGACGUGCCCCGUGCAAGUGCACUGGCCUUAGGCGUGCUGAAGAACUUGAUUUGUCAGGACUCCCACGACCACGACCAUGGCUCCAACUGGUGGUGGUGGACGACCCCCUCUUGCUGAAAACACGCCUUCUGUCUCCAGCCUGGCACCGGGCAUUUUGGAGGCAUCCAGAGAAGGGCAUUCGCCAGCGAAAAAUAUCUUCUGGCUAUCUUCUCUUUUACACCUGGAGGGGAAGCCAAAGAACCAAAAACAGCGUUUGGCAGCUGCAGCAAGGGCGAGUGCUCUCCGACGAAGUUUCAUCAGAGGCGGGACUUUCCAAAGAAGGCGACAAAACGGCCUGUAGCGCCGUUGCCUCUGUGCCGGUGCAUGGAGAUGGCCGAGCCUGCCUCUGGGCAGCCGGCAGUGCUGAGACCGCAGAGGGUGCCAACGCCGGCCAACCUAUACCUGGCUGCUCUCCGCUAAUACGAUGUCGCGGAUUUUAUGCCUGGCCGACUCGCCCAGCUACGGCGGCACGCUGUCUCUUUGCGGCCCGCUGCGGCGGCUGCUGCGCGCCGCGGACGAUGCGCGCGCGGCUGCGGCGGCUGGCCGCCCGGUGGCUGCCGUUUGAACCCACGUGGUGCGCCGACUGGACAGGGGCUGGGACCGGCGGCUCACCGCUCUGCACAUGGCCGAACUGUGCACUGCCACCGACCGAGGGCUUGGUAACAUAUUGUUUCUGGAAUGUUCACGGGUUCCAUUCCUGCUCAAAGACUUAAUGAGUGCGCCGAAACUCGUCAGCAUCUUGGGAACUACACCGGAGUGCACCUGCUGCGGCUGCUGCUCGGACCGCCGUGCACUCUGAACGUCCGUAACCUGGUGUGGCACGGCUUUCUGGUGCUGGGGCUCGCUACGCGCCCUCUGCGGGGACGCCGUGCUCUGCCAGCUCUGCGACCUGCUCGUGUGGCCGGCCGGGCCGCGGCGGCGCAACCGGCUGGCGCACGGCGAGGUGGAGCCGGCGCGACUGCCGGCGCCGCUGGCGCACCAGCUGCUCUGGCUCACUGGUCAGCUGCUGGUCACCACCGCUGACUGGGCGGAGCGGCAGCCGGCGCCGGCCGGCGGCACAGCGCAGCACUCUGGGGACGGGGCCGAGCAGCACUAGACUAGCAGCGACUCGUGGAUAACUGGUCCGACCUGGAGCCAGCCGGCCAUCAGAGAGCUGGAGGCAGCUGAUGAUUGUGAAAUGAGUGAGUUGGACAGCUGUGCCACGCUGUCAGACUCCCGUCGACUGCGACGAGUGUGGGACUCGCACGGGUUGUGUCAGUGACCAAAGUGCUCUUUUUAUGUGUGGUGACCGGUCAGACUAUUUGACACAGACUAGCCAGAGUGUGUCACGAACUUCUGACAGUGAAUGCCAGUCAGUGCUUAGAUGUGGGGACGCGUCCAUCGAAUCGAGCGACGCUAAUGCACCGUGUGACAGUGUGCGUUUUCCGGGCGAGUUCGUUGCGCUGUGUGCCGGUCGUGCGCGGGACUGGUACCACCCGUCGUUCCACCAGUUCUCAGCGCUGCGGCGCGCCGUGCGCGAUCUCGGUGCCGCCGCCGAGGAGACUGUGCGCCGCGAGCUGCCGCCCGAGGACCUGCCGGCGCUGACCCGGCUGGAGCCGCUGGCUGACGGCGCGCUGUCGCUGCGUCCGCCGACCCUGCGCCGGCCGCGCCGGGAGGCCGAGCUGCUGACCCAGCUGCAGCAGCUGGUGGCGGCCCUGGACGGCGCCUGCCCCCUGGUAGCGGGUGGCAGCUGCGGGCGCCACGUGACGCCGUCUGCGCUCUCGGCAGCGCGCCACCUGGGGCCGCAUGCAGACCGCGUUGCCAGAGCUGCGUCGUCUGACGGCGGGUCUGCUGCGACUGGUGACGCACCAACUGGACGGUCUGGCCACCGCCGCGAGUCCGGAUUGAGACGGACACGGAGACAGUUCCGAACGGAGCCUCCCUCACCAGGUCUCUGAAUGGAGCUGCGUUCAGGUGGGCGGCUGGCUGCGCUGUCUCGGUCUGGCCCAGUACGCCGACGCGUUCGUCGCCCGCUCUGUGGAUGGCGCCCGGCUUCUGGGGCUCACCGAACAGGCUAUGGAAGACGAGCCCGACGUCGGUCUCGACGUGGCGACCUCGGAGCCAGCGUGUUGGGUAUCGGCUUCCCGCCACUCACCGGCGGACCUUUCCGCUUCGUGGACCGCAUCGGUCCCGCACAGCUAGUCAAGGACAUGGAGCGCUUCGCCGUCGUCAGUGGCGUCGGCUUCGAGCCGUGCCUGACCGUGCACUACCAGGCCGCUAGCGGCACCAAGUUCUGUUCGGCCGGUCCUCGUGUAAUGCCCACAUGUGAUGACCGAGAGUAUACGCAUGUGAAGCCGCUCCGCGCGUGUGCCAGCGCUGGGCGUGUUCAGUUUCAAAGUUAAUAUAUAACCCUGGUGAUCAA
rnacentral:lncRNA from 1 species